GACGAAGGGGGCUAGCGUUGUUCGGAAUUACUGGGCGUAAGGCGCGUGUAGGCGGUUGUUCAAGUCAGGUGUGAAAGCCUUGAGCUCAACUCAAGAAAUGCACUUGAUACUGGAUGACUAGAGGACCGGAGAGGAUAGUGGAAUUCCCAGUGUAGUGGUGAAAUACGUAGAGAUUGGGAAGAACACCAGUGGCGAAGGCGGCUAUCUGGACGGUUUCUGACGCUAAGACGCGAAAGCGUGGGGAGCAAACAGG
rnacentral:rRNA from 1 species